GACAGAGGCCACAAGCGUUAGGCGGAAUCACUGGGCUUAAAGCGUGUGUAGGCGGACCGUUAAGUGUCCUGUGAAAUCCCCCGGCUCAACCGGGGAACGGCAGGGCAAACUGGCGGUCUUGAGCUGCCCAGGGGCGACUGGAACAAGCGGUGGAGCGGUGAAAUGCGUAGAUAUCGCUUGGAACGCCAAAGGUGAAAACAGGUCGCUGGGGGCAAGCUGACGCUGAGACACGAAAGCCAGGGGAGCAAACGGG
rnacentral:rRNA from 1 species